AAGAGAUCAGAAAUGUGGGUGAGCGCUUCCCUCUUUGUUUGACUAUUUGCUUGAGAAUUUUUAUGUAUCGAUUGAUUUUCUGUAUCUGUGUAUUGUGAUUACUCUUCAUUACUGUUCAAUAUGAUUUCAUGUCAAACAACCCAUCGGGAGAAAAUCCUGAAGGAGAAAAAUGUUGAUUUCUCCACUCACGAAGAAAACGGAAAUUCGAACAUUUUUUUCCUCAAAAACACAGUGGAAAACUAAAGCAGCAGAAACAG
rnacentral:misc_RNA from 1 species